rnacentral:rRNA from 1 species
UACGAAGGGGGCUAGCGUUGUUCGGAAUUACUGGGCGUAAAGCGCGCGUAGGCGGUGAUCUUUGUCAGAGGUGAAAGCCUGGGGCUCAACUCCAGAAUUGCCUUUGAAACGGGAUCGCUUGAGUCCGAGAGAGGAUGGCGGAAUUCCUAGUGUAGAGGUGAAAUUCGUAGAUAUCAGGAGGAACACCGGUGGUGUAGACGGCUUUCUGGACCGUAACUGACGCUGAGACACGAAAGCGUGGGUAGCAAACAGG